AGGCUUACGGUAUUAUUACUCCUGCCUGGAGUAAUAUGUAUUGUAAUUUGGGAUUCCUGUGGGACAACGUAUCUUUGAAACAACAAGAAUUAACUCCAUGAUAAAGAAUUUCAGAUUUCUUCCACCGGUUGUGAUUUUGUCCCAGGAGAAUGUGUGCACACGGUGGCCACCAGAGGGAGCCCUUCAGCGACAGAGGAUGAGAGCUGCAGGAUGGUCAGAGGAAACCCAAUCCACAUUGGAACAAGGCUUCUUAAGACAUGGAUGUAAUUUGGUGGUGCGGAAAAAUCAGAGUGUUCAAAACAAUGAUGAUGUAAAAGGCUGAACCAAAAAUAACAACUGAUCUUACAUACACCAUUCCUCUGCUGCAUUGGUAUAUCACAGCUGUGAUCUCCACAAGGAAAGAGAAUUAUGGGUAUGGACAAUUAUGAAAAUAUGCUCCGGAUAUAGAUAGACCUUCUUUUCAAAGGAUAGGGUUCAGGAGGAGGACUUGAAAAAAGAUCGUCUCAGGGUUGUGAAAGAAGAUACAAUCAGCAAGCCUCUGAGAAAUCACAGCUGAUGACUAAGUCCACAGUCUGCUCAUAAAAUGUAGAGUUAUAGCUCUUGCUCUCACCACUGUCUCUGAUGAGUCUGAAGAAUUGUGAAUCACUAAAAGUCUCUACUUCUUUAAAUGUCUAGAAAGACUGUUCAAAUCACCUGGAAAGCUUGCACUUUUUUUUUUUAAUCUAGAAGACAAUAAAAAGUUGCAACAUCCUCUCUCAGAUCAGACCCAUCUGUUCCUUUACUCAUUCAUUCAACUCUUAUAUAUUAAUUCACUGACUUUUAGGUACCGGGAAUAAUUUCUGAGAG
rnacentral:lncRNA from 1 species